rnacentral:tRNA from 1 species
AGAAGUUUAGGUUACCUAGACCAGAGGCCUUCAAAGCCUCAAGAAAAUAUAUUAUAUUUAACUUCUG